rnacentral:lncRNA from 1 species
GAAUGAGCUGUGGCUGCCCUCCAGGUGUGCAUAGCCAGGACUGGGAGGGGGAGAGUGGAGGCUGCAGAAUACAAAGAUUAGCCCUGAGCUAACUACUGCCAAUCCUCCUCUUUUUGCUGAGGAAGCCUGGCCCUGACUAACAUCCAUGCGCAUCUUCCUCUACUUUAUAUGUGGGACACCUACCACAACAUGGCUUGCCAAGCGGUGCCAUGUCCGCACCCGGGAUCUGAACCAGCGAACCCCAGGCCGCCAAGAAGCGGAACGUGCGCACUUAACCGCUGCGCCACCAGGCCGGUCCCUAAGCUGAGUCUUAAAAGUCCAACAGGAGUCGAUCCAGUGGAGAAGGUGUGGAAAGGUAUUCCAGGCCCGGCUGCGAGCAGAUGGCUGUUUGCAGAGGGUCCGGGCAUCUCUGCAGCAGGGACUCACAAGGCUUUGGAAGACAGAGUGGACCAGAAGGACGGCAAGCACGGCAGCACCAGCUACCCCUCUCCAGCCAGCCAGCCAUCAAAGCCCCUCCCAGCAGGAUGCCUCCCAGGCCCAGCUCCCACUCUUCUCAGAGAUCCCUGUCUACUGGAAAUAUGGGAAAAUCAGUUUUUGAUUAUAGUUCAUGUGGGUCUCGGGGAGGGGUGAUUCGGACAUUCCUGGGCACAUCAGGUGAGCCAGCAGAAUGGAGCCACAGAAAGCCAGUCCCAUGAGCAGGAGAGGCCUGUGAACUGGUGUUGGGUAACAGAGCCUUCACUGGGGGGAGGUGCAAUUCCGAGCUCAGCAGGGGACUGUCACGUAACCCCUUCCCAGCCCAGCUCCACUGACUUAUAUCUGGGUCCUAAGAAAGAAGAGGCCUCUGGGUAAAGCCUAAAAGAGCUGCUUUAGUAAACCUCUGUUCCAAGU